rnacentral:snRNA from 1 species
GACAAGCAAACGAACAACUUUUA